UAGGGAAUUUUUCACAAUGAGCGAAAGCUUGAUGGAGCAAUGCCGCGUGAACGAUGAAGGUCUUUAAGAUUGUAAAGUUCUUUUAUUUAGGAAGAAUGACUUUAGCAGGUAAUGGCUAGAGUUUGACUGUACCAUUUUGAAUAAGUGACGACUAACUAUGUGCCAGCAGUCGUGGUAAUACAUAGGUCGCAAGCGUUAUCCGGAUUUAUUGGGCGUAAAGCAAGCGCAGGCGGAUUGAAAAGUCUGGUGUUAAAGGCAGCUGCUUAACAGUUGUAUGCAUUGGAAACUAUUAAUCUAGAGUGUGGUAGGGAGUUUUGGAAUUUCAUGUGGAGCGGUGAAAUGCGUAGAUAUAUGAAGGAACACCAGUGGCGAAGGCGAAAACUUAGGCCAUUACUGACGCUUAGGCUUGAAAGUGUGGGGAGCAAAUAGGAUUAGAUACCCUAGUAGUCCACACCGUAAACGAUAGAUACUAGCUGUCGGGGCGAUCCCCUCGGUAGUGAAGUUAACACAUUAAGUAUCUCGCCUGGGUAGUACAUUCGCAAGAAUG
rnacentral:rRNA from 1 species